rnacentral:rRNA from 1 species
AGAGCGCAGGGUGGAUGCCUUGGCACUAAGAGCCGAUGAAGGACGUGAUAAGCUGCGAUAAGCUUCGGGGAGUUGCACGUAAACUUUGAUCCGAAGAUUUCCGAAUGAGGAAACUCACUUAGAGUAAUGUCUAAGUAUCGUUAAGUGAAUACAUAGCUUAGCGAGGGGAACCCGGGGAACUGAAACAUCUAAGUACCCGGAGGAAAAGAAAUCAACCGAGAUUCCCCCAGUAGCGGCGAGCGACCGGGGAGGAGCCUGCAAGUGAUAGCACGAAUGUUAGCGGAACACUCUGGAAAGUGUGGCGAUAGAGGGUGAUAGCCCCGUACGCGAA